GUCAGGAUGGCCGAGCGGUCUAAGGCGCCAGACUCAAGGUUUUCCUUGCCCACUACACUGGGCUGCGAGCGUUCUGGUCCUCUCUGAGGGCGUGGGUUCGAAUCCCACUUCUGACA
rnacentral:tRNA from 1 species